AUUGAACGCUGGCGGCAGGCCUAACACAUGCAAGUCGAGCGGAUGAGGGAAGCUUGCUUCCCGAUUUAGCGGCGGACGGGUGAGUAAUGCCUAGGAAUCUGCCUAUUAGUGGGGGAUAACGUUCCGAAAGGAACGCUAAUACCGCAUACGUCCUACGGGAGAAAGUGGGGGAUCUUCGGACCUUACGCUAAUAGAUGAGCCUAGGUCGGAUUAGCUAGUUGGUGGGGUAACGGCUCACCAAGGCGACGAUCCGUAGCUGGUCUGAGAGGAUGAUCAGCCACACUGGAACUGAGACACGGUCCAGACUCCUACGGGAGGCAGCAGUGGGGAAUAUUGGACAGUGGGCGAAAGCCUGAUCCAGCCAUGCCGCGUGUGUGAAGAAGGUCUUCGGAUUGUAAAGCACUUUAAGUUGGGAGGAAGGGUUGUAAGCUAAUAUCUUGCAGCUUUGACGUUACCAACAGAAUAAGCACCGGCUAACUCUGUGCCAGCAGCCGCGGUAACAC
rnacentral:rRNA from 1 species